rnacentral:rRNA from 1 species
AACGUAGGUCACAAGCGUUGUCCGGAAUUACUGGGUGUAAAGGGAGCGCAGGCGGGAAGACAAGUUGGAAGUGAAAUCCAUGGGCUCAACCCAUGAACUGCUUUCAAAACUGUUUUUCUUGAGUAGUGCAGAGGUAGGCGGAAUUCCCGGUGUAGCGGUGGAAUGCGUAGAUAUCGGGAGGAAUACCAGUGGCGAAGGCGGCCUACUGGGCACCAACUGACGCUGAGGCUCGAAAGUGUGGGUAGCAAACAGG